rnacentral:lncRNA from 1 species
GCGCAGCUCAAUUAUUGCGCGGGCUGGGGGCGGGGCCUGCGGGGAAGGGACAGAGCCAAGCCCAGCCUUGAGCCAUCCUCGCCCCUGUGGCGGAAAUGGGAGGGUGCCUGGAGGAGUGGAGGGAUUGGAUUUACACCCUCUUUUCCCUCCGAAGCCUCCUUGGUGGGGGCGAAGAAAGACCAUCCAACCCUGCCAAAGGCAAAAGGAUUAAGGAUAAAUGAAAGCAAGAUAAUGUAGAAGAACUACUUAGCUGCUGGGUUUUUGGAGAUGAGUGAUUUUUUUUUGUAGGGAGAAAUUAUGAAACACAUUGAAAUGGACAAAAAAUUACUGAAUGUCUUCAAUGAAAAAACAGCCAUAGUUUGGCACACCGUCCCGGGCAUUCUGUUGCUAGAGGGGCUGUCCGCUUUUCUUUGUGGUGCUCUGCACAACUCGGCAGUUGCGGUUUUCCUGCCCUUGGGACGUGCAAUUAUGUUGUCCAGCCCGCUGCCAGAGGACAGCAGGAAGGGAGAUGUGUUGUCCACCCCACUGCCACUGGACCACUUCUAUACAUAGCUGGUUCUUCUGUCCAGCCCGCUGCCACUGGACUCUUUCCCCUCUGUCACCACUGGACUGUAAGCUCCUAAUACAAACCCAUGUCUCAUUUACUGGCUCUCCAGUCUCUUCUUGGCCUCUUGAACCUGGUACCUUCUCUAUUGAGGUAAGGAUGGGGCAGAGAAGGUUCUCAAGCAAUAUUCUGAAAUGAGCAUGAAUCGAUGAAUCAUUUUCCAGAGCUUGGGGGCUUUCCAGGGACAGUGAGCCCCAGGAAUCUGACACAUGGACUCUUACCAAGAGAAAUGGAAUUCCUGAGUGGGGACUGCACAGGAAGCAGUAACGCUUUUCAGCAUAAACUGUAGUCAUCCUGGCCAGGGCUGCAGGCAAGUGAGGGAGCAGCUGCGCCCGGGGUCUAGCAAAGCCCUGGUUCCUCCAGUGAGACCCAAAGCAUCUCCUGAAGGAAGGUCUCUUAAACGACCCUCAGAAUCGGAUUUCGCUCUGCAUCGAGUUUUCUGAAACUUGAAGAUCAAAUGCUGAGGUUACAAAUGCUUUCCAUUAUUUUCUUCAUGGUUUUCUAGAUUUUAAAACAUUGCUCUAGCCAGGGUGUUUUCCCAGCCCCCACGUCCAUGGCACCCCCAGUCUCUUCUCUGCACAUCUGGAUUUCCUACGGGGUUUCACUGGUGUCCAGGGCCGUCACCCAAAGGUGCCUGGCCUGGAGUAAGCAGAGGCUGGAACACAGCCUGAGCCUGGAACACAGCCUGAGCCCUGCUUGUCAAGUUCUGCUUCUGACCAGCGGAGGGGGGCCCAGACUGGGUGCCUAUUUCUAAUUCCUGGAAAGGGUUACACAGCGACAUGCAAAGUCCUCCCCAGUAUGGACCACAUUGAAGCAGGUGUGAGGCAGACACCAGGGCUUCCCAGCCACCAGGCUUCUUUGGCCACUUUUUCGUCUUGUCCUGGUAGAAGGUGGCCAUGAAUCCAAGCACCCCUUCCAGCCUCACGAGAUGAAUUAAUUAGCCUAAACUGUUUGUGGUAAUUCCUUUCCCCUUGUGAGCAAUUUGGCACUUUUUGGCACCCAGUCUCUGGUGUGACCUCGCCAUCCUCAUUGGCACAGCCACCCUGGGAACAAAAGCCAUCCUCACGUGUCGCUGAGAUCCCAGCCAUGUGCACACUCAGCCCAGGUAGGCUGCAAGGGCAGAAGCCUCUGAGACCCACUGACUCUUAGCCUUAAUUCUUCCAAAUCAACUUUAAUUUGCCCCAAAUCCCCACACACCAGGACUGUGCCCAGGCUGUGGGGGUCUUACACAGCGUGAAAACUUCAGGAACUUCCUGCUGUCAUCAGUUACUGGUCUUCCUAUUUACCGUUUGGACAACCACAGACUGAAGGAAUCUGAAAUGGACCCGUCGGGUCAGUGGCUCUGAGCCACUGUGGGAAUGUCUGGCAAGGCUGGAAGCCCUGGGGUCUAAGGUCCAGGGGGCCAAGGUGCACCUGGGCUGGCCUUUUGUUCACAGGCUUCCCUGUGAUCUCCCUCCAGCCUGGGAGAAAAAAAAAAAUCUCUCUUCCAUGCUCCUCUCAAAGGCACCCCCUGCAGGACAUCCACACGGUCUCUCUGGGAGCUUGGGCUUUUAUUAAAGACACAGCAAGCCUGCCUUGCCAAAAUCCCUCAGACAAGGCCAUGCCAAGGGCUGGCGACCUCCUGGUAAUGUGAGAAGACACCAGAAGAACACGUACUCCUUUUUCAAUUAACUGUCCCCCCAUCUUUCCGAGGAAAUCUGACUCCUGUACCAAGCUUGCCUUCUAAACAGGUUGAGAGCCUAGAAGCCAAGGGACAGGGCUGUGAGGGGAAAGACUGGGCCCAGCCAGUGAGUGGGGGGCAGCCUGGGAGGAGCAUGUUGGCAGCAUGAGCCCAGCAGGGAAAGAAGGCCUCUGGCCUCUGUCCUGAAUGGCAGGAGGAAGUCACCGUCGGCCACCCUCACAGCCCAGGGUUGGGGCUUCUGGAGUGACUGAUAUCACCCCACGUAUGAAUCUGGCCCUGAUGCCAAGGACUGUGAUUCAACAAGGCAACUGGGGCCAUACACAGGGGUGCUGGGCCCUGUAGGAGACAGUGGCAAGGCCCUGCUCUCAGGCUCCUGGGUCCCAGUGGGGAGGCAGCCUCAUGCAUGGAUCCUUAGCCCGUGAGGAGCAGGAUGGCUGCAAUAAGGAGGAGGAAGCCUGAACAGCUGAUUCCUCCUUGGGCGGUGGGUGGGGUUGGCUCUGUGGGAUCUGAGAAGGCUUCUUGGGAGAGGUUGGGUUUAAGUUAGGACCUUGAGACAGGCAGGAGGAAGCCAUUCUAGAGAAAGGUGGCAGUUUCUGGGAGGGGUUUAUAAUUGAAGCUGGGGCAUCAGGGGUAUGUCAGAAGAAGGAGGGGCAGUGGAAAAUAAGCUUGUAAAAACAGCUUGAGGCCAAACCACAAAGAACACUGAAUGCCUGGGGAGGGGGAGUUUAGUUUGAAUUUUUAUUGUUUAUGCAUGGUCAUAGUUUAAGGAUCCCUGCCCCCAGUCUCAGAUUUUGCCUUUUCCUGCUUCCCAAGCUUUCAGCUGGUUCUUUUAGUAUUUACCUUCAUAGCUGUAAAUAUUAUGCUUAGAUUACUAUUUGAUUUUUCUACUUAUAAUGUCAUUCGUUGAGUUUCUGCUACAGAAGAUGAGAUGUUUAUGUAUAGUGAGAGCAGUAUACAUAAACAUACUUCCUAUCCCUUCAAAUAGAGUUACAUUAUAAUUUUAGUUCAUUAAUAGUUUGCAUUACAUUAUUAUUACUACAUCAACAAUACUCACAGCUGAAUCAUAUAGUAGACCAUGGUAACCUUUUGCUUGCUUAUUUUGUACUUUUCCUGAAAUUAAUCAUUACCUUGUUGUUUGCUUCUUUGUUUUAGUUUGUUUAAGUUUCUAAGUACUUAUUACUAAUGAAACCCCAAAGUUUUUGUCAAGUAUAGACAUCUCCUUUCAGGCUGUUCAGAAAGCCUGUGGUGUCCUACCAACUUCACCCUCCUGGGAAGCUCUUCUGAACCCUAGAGUCCUGUGCAUAACCAUUUGGGAAAAUCCCUUCAUCUCUCUCCUGGGUUAAGGUCCCCUUGCCUUCUUCCUCAUUUCACCCCUAUGUUUUGAUAGAGCACAUCCCCCAGUAGCUUUCUGAGAAAAGGUGCAUUUGGGGCCGUGAUACUUGAAUACCUGGAAAAGUCUUUUCUACCCUUGCAGUUGAUUGAUAGGUUGGCUGGGUAUAGGUUUUAGGUUAGAAAUCAUUUUCCUUUAGAAUUUUGAAAACACUGCUCCAUUGCUUUAAAAAAUGUUGCAACUGAGAAACAUAAAGCCAGCUUGAUUUCUGUCUCCUUUGUAUGUGAUGGGAUUUUUUUUUUCUGUUCUUCUGGGAGCUUUUACAUCUUCUCUUUGUCCCCAGUGUUGUGAAAUUUCACAAUAACCGACCUUGCUGUAGGUCUCUUCAUCCAUUGUGCUGGAAUGGGCCCUUUUAAUGUGGAAACUUGUCCCUCUUGUCUGGGACAUUUUCUUGAAAUAUUUCCUUGACAAUUUCUCUGACAGUAGGUAUUUUUUUCCACCCUUUGAAUAUAGAUGGAAAUACCAUUUUCCCCAGAAUGUAACCAGAUCUUGUCGUUCUAGAAUGUAGCCAGGGAAGCAAAGGCAUCCAGCUAAGUUUGCCUGUGGUAGGAGUCAGAGCGUAAGCUUACUUUGGAAAGGGAGUUCUGCGGUCCACUUUCUGCCUCCGCUGAAGGCCUUCAUGUCGAUGAAGUGCCUGGGAGGUCCUAAGUCUCAUCUUAUUAGAGAAACUGCUCCUGAACAGCCUAAGAUGUCACCCCAUGCAUCAGUUCAUAGUCUCUUACUCUGCUUGAUUUUACUUGCCACAUCAUAGGUGCUCAAUGCUCAUUGUUUGUCAAAUUGAAUUAUUUGGGACACAAUUUUCCCGUCUGUAAAAUGAAGGUGCUGGACUAGAAUUCUAAAAGUCCCAGUAGCUCCAAUGUCCAACAACUAUGCUUAUGUCACUGUGUUGGAAAAUGACUUAUAAAAGGGAAUGAAAUAGUCUCUGUAAAUAUGUUUCUCUGCCCACAUUUAAUGAAUUGUCUACCACAAUGAGGGGGAGUCCUAUUU